rnacentral:rRNA from 1 species
CUGGCUCAGAACGAACGCUGGCGGCAUGCCUAACACAUGCAAGUCGAACGAGGGCUUCGGCCCUAGUGGCGCACGGGUGAGUAACACGUGGGAACCUGCCUCAUGGUUCGGGAUAACGUCUGGAAACGGACGCUAACACCGGAUGUGUCCUUCGGGAGAAAGUUUACGCCAUGAGAGGGGCCCGCGUCCGAUUAGGUAGUUGGCGGGGUAACGGCCCACCAAGCCGACGAUCGGUAGCUGGUCUGAGAGGAUGAUCAGCCACACUGGGACUGAGACACGGCCCAGACUCCUAUGGGAGGCAGCAGUGGGGAAUAUUGGACAAUGGGGGCAACCCUGAUCCAGCAAUGCCGCGUGAGCGAUGAAGGCCUUCGGGUUGUAAAGCUCUUUCGCACGCGACGAUGAUGACGGUAGCGUGAGAAGAAGCCCCGGCUAACUUCGUGCCAGCAGCCGCGGUAAUACGAAGGGGGCUAGCGUUGUUCGGAAUUACUGGGCGUAAAGGGCGCGUAGGCGGCCCGUUCAGUCAGAAGUGAAAGCCCCGGGCUCAACCUGGGAAUGGCUUUUGAUACUGGCGGGCUUGAGUUCCGGAGAGGAUGGUGGAAUUCCCAGUGUAGAGGUGAAAUUCGUAGAUAUUGGGAAGAACACCGGUGGCGAAYGCGGCCCAUCUGGACGGACACUGACGCUGAGGCGCGAAAGCGUGGGGAGCAAACASGGAUUAGAUACCCNUGGUAGUCCACGCCGUAAACGAUGAAUACUAGACGCUGGGGUGCAUGCACUUUNGGUGUCGCCGCUAACGCAUUAAGCAUUCCGCCUGGGGAGUACGGCCGCAAGGUUAAAACUCAAAGGAA